AGAACGAACGCUGGCGGCAGGCUUAACACAUGCAAGUCGAGCGCCUCGCAAGAGGAGCGGCAGACGGGUGAGUAACGCGUGGGAAUCUACCGUACCCUACGGAAUAGCUCCGGGAAACUGGAAUUAAUACCGUAUACGCCCUUCGGGGGAAAGAUUUAUCGGGGUAUGAUGAGCCCGCGUUGGAUUAGCUAGUUGGUGGGGUAAAGGCCUACCAAGGCGACGAUCCAUAGCUGGUCUGAGAGGAUGAUCAGCCACAUUGGGACUGAGACACGGCCCAAACUCCUACGGGAGGCAGCAGUGGGGAAUAUUGGACAAUGGGCGCAAGCCUGAUCCAGCCAUGCCGCGUGAGUGAUGAAGGCCCGAGGGUUGUAAAGCUCUUUCACCGGUGAAGAUAAUGACGGUAACCGGAGAAGAGCCCCGGCUAACUUCGUGCCAGCAGCCGC
rnacentral:rRNA from 1 species